rnacentral:rRNA from 1 species
AGUGAACGCUGGCGGUAGGCCUAACACAUGCAAGUCGAACGGCAGCACAGAGGAGCUUGCUCCUUGGGUGGCGAGUGGCGGACGGGUGAGGAAUACAUCGGAAUCUACUCUGUCGUGGGGGAUAACGUAGGGAAACUUACGCUAAUACCGCAUACGACCUACGGGUGAAAGCAGGGGACCUUCGGGCCUUGCGCGAUUGAAUGAGCCGAUGUCGGAUUAGCUAGUUGGCAGGGUAAAGGCCCACAAAGGCGGCGAUCCGUAGCUGGCCUGAGAGGAGGAUCAGCCACACUGGAACUGAGACACGGUCCAGACUCCUACGGGAGGCAGCAGUGGGGAAUAUUGGACAAUGGGCGCAAGCCUGAUCCAGCCAUACCGCGUGGGUGAAGAAGGCCUUCGGGUUGUAAAGCCCUUUUGUUGGGAAAGAAAUCCAGCUGGCUAAUACCCGGUUGGGAUGACGGUACCCAAAGAAUAAGCACCGGCUAACUUCGUGCCAGCCGCCGCGGUAA